UAUUAAGAUGUCUGCUUACCUGAAUGUGUUUCUGCAGAAAUUUAGAGAAAACUAGCAAUAGUAACGCCAUGUUGCAAGCUCCAAAGACACUGAGGUCAUUAAGGUCCCUGAAAAUGGCUGUAAGA